GACGAACGCUGGCGGCGUGCCUAAUACAUGCAAGUCGAACGCAGUGGGGACGGGGGAGUAACACGUGGGUAACCUCCCAUCAGAGGGGAUAACACUUGGAAACAGGUGCUAAACCGAUACUGAUGGAUGGACCCGCGGUGCAUGAGCUUGUGGGUGAGGUAACGGCUCACCAAGGCCACGAUGCAUAGCCGACCUGAGGGGGUGUUCGGCCCCCCGUGGACUGAGCCACGGCCCAGACUCUUACGGGAGGCAUCAGUAGGGAAUCUUCGGCAAUGGACGAAAGUCUGACCGAGCAACGCCGCGUGAGUGAAGAAGGUUUUCGGAUCGUAAAACUCUGUUGUUAGAGAAGCGGUAUCUAACCAGAAAGCCACGGCUAACUACGUGCCAGCAGCCGCGGUAAUUC
rnacentral:rRNA from 1 species